UACGGAGGGGGCUAGCGUUGUUCGGAAUUACUGGGCGUAAAGCGCACGUAGGCGGCUUUGUAAGUUAGAGGUGAAAGCCCGGGGCUCAACUCCGGAACUGCCUUUAAGACUGCAUCGCUAGAAUUGUGGAGAGGUAAGUGGAAUUCCGAGUGUAGAGGUGAAAUUCGUAGAUAUUCGGAAGAACACCAGUGGCGAAGGCGACUUACUGGACAAAUAUUGACGCUGAGGUGCGAAAGCGUGGGGAGCAAACAGG
rnacentral:rRNA from 1 species